AUAGGCGAAAGCCUGACAGGGUUACUCUGAGUGGUUUCCGAUAAGGAGAUCUUUUGGCACCUCUAAAAAUGGUGCAGAAUAAGGGGUGGGCAAGUCUGGUGUCAGCCGCCGCGGUAAUACCAGCACCCCGAGUGGUCGGGACGAUUAUUGGGCCUAAAGCAUCCGUAGCCGGUCCAGCGAGUCCUCCGUUAAAUCCACCUGCUUAACAGAUGGGCUGCGGGGGAUACUACUGGGCUAGGAGGCGGGAGAGGCAAGCGGUACUCAGUGGGUAGGGGUAAAAUCCUCUGAUCCACUGAAGACCACCAGUGGCGAAGGCGGCUUGCCAGAACGCGCUCGACGGUGAGGGAUGAAAGCUGGGGGAGCAAACCGGAUUAGAUACCCCGGUAGUCC
rnacentral:rRNA from 1 species